rnacentral:rRNA from 1 species
UACGGGGGGGGCAAGCGUUGUUCGGAAUUACUGGGCGUAAAGGGCUCGUAGGCGGCCAACUAAGUCAGACGUGAAAUCCCUCGGCUUAACCGGGGAACUGCAUCUGAUACUGGAUGGCUUGAGUUCGGGAGAGGGAUGCGGAAUUCCAGGUGUAGCGGUGAAAUGCGUAGAUAUCUGGAGGAACACCGGUGGCGAAGGCGGCAUCCUGGACCGACACUGACGCUGAGGAGCGAAAGCCAGGGGAGCAAACAGG